rnacentral:rRNA from 1 species
GAUGAACGCUGGCGGCGUGCCUAAUACAUGCAAGUUGUGCGGUAACAGAGAGAGCUUGCUCUCUGCUGACGAGCGGCGGACGGCAGAGUAACGCGUAGGAACAUACCCCAAACUGAGGGAUAACUGCUCGAAAGAGUAGCUAAUACCGCAUGUGGUCUUCGGAUUAAAAGCUUCGGCGGUUUGGGAGUGGCCUGCGUCCGAUUAGCUAGUUGGUGAGGUAAUUGCUCACCAAGGCGACGAUCGGUAGCUGGUCUGAGAGGAUGAUCAGCCUGACUGGAACUGAGAACGGUCCAGACUCCUACGGGAGGCAGCAGUAGGGAAUUUUCCACAAUGGGCGAAAGCCUGAUGGAGCAACGCCGCGUGCAGGAUGAAUGCC